UGCGUAACGCGUAUGCAAUCUACCUUGUUCAAAGGGAUAGCCCAGAGAAAUUUGGAUUAAUACCUUAUAGUAUUAUAAAAUGGCAUCAUUUAAUAAUUAAAGAUUUAUCGGAACAAGAUGAGCAUGCGUCCCAUUAGCUAGUUGGUAUGGUAACGGCAUACCAAGGCAAUGAUGGGUAGGGGUCCUGAGAGGGAGAUCCCCCACACUGGUACUGAGACACGGACCAGACUCC
rnacentral:rRNA from 1 species